CAGCACCUCAAGUGGUCAGGAUGAUUAUUGGGCCUAAAGCAUCCGUAGCCGGCGCUGGAAGGUUUCGGUUAAAUCUGUACGCUCAACGUACAGGCUGCCGUGAAUACUGCAGCGCUAGGGAGUGGGAGAGGUAGACGGUACUCGGUAGGAAGGGGUAAAAUCCUUUGAUCUAUUGAUGACCACCUGUGGCGAAGGCGGUCUACCAGAACACGUCCGACGGUGAGGGAUGAAAGCUGGGGGAGCAAACCGGAUUAGAUACCCGUGUAGUCC
rnacentral:rRNA from 1 species